ensembl:lncRNA
AGCUGAGGUAUUUUUAAAGGAUUCUCACAAUUUGCAACUCAAAUAAAUCUAGUAUUCAAGCACGUGCGUUUUUUAGGCUGUAAUGACUGAAAAUGUUAAACUAAAUAUUUUGCUUAAACAAGUAAAGACGAAGGGGGUAAAUGAGCAAAUUAAAAUGCAUGAAAACUGCCUCUGCCACGGCGGCUUCCUCUAGAAGAGAAUGGCUAAUUCAUCCGCGACAUAUUCUUGUCACUCCUCUGGAGAAAGGCCGCCCCAGGAGGAGCCCAACCGUUCAGCAUUUUGCUUCUGGUCAGGAUUGAUUCCAGAUGUGGGAGGUAAACGCUAGAAAGGGUUUGGAAAAUGGAGUGGAAAUGAAAAAUCCCGCAGGCCAUUUGAGUGUUGAUGACAGAUGAGUUAGAGUUCUUGGUUGCAAGCUAUGGAAGUUUACUAUUGACAAAUAAGCAACCAGGAGAUCACUGGAAGAUUAGCAGGAGGCUUACAGGAUGGGGGGAUACCGGCCUUGAAAAUAGGAAGCCCAAGAAGCAGAAGGCAGGAAGCAGAGCAAGGGGACACAGAAGCCUCUGGAGUCCAGGACAGCCAGGAAGAUAAUGAAAUGGAAGCUGCCUGCUGCUCAUGAAUGCAGAGGGAUAAGGCCAUUUUUAUCCCAGCCUUCCUGCUUCAAAUCUCAUCUUCUUCCUCCCUGGAAUCAAGGGUGAGACCCAAUAUUAAGGACUAAACCCACACAUGCAUUUUCUUAGUUGGGGAAUCUGAAUGGGCAUUCAACUAAUUUUGAGAAAUAGAU